AUUUUUUAUACGACGUAAAGGUGAACGUUUGUCGUACUGUAUAAAUUCACCUCCCACCUCCCCCCGAAAAAGAACGCGACGUGGUUACAAAGCUAUAUGAAUAUAAUAUGUAAACAGACUUCCCGAGGAAACGAGAACAAAGCGGUGAAUUUAAAGUACAAUCAUUUAAUAUUUUCAUGACAAUGAUGACAUGGAUUCCAUUCGAAUAAUAGUAUGUGGAGUUAGACCAUAAAGUUAGCAGAUCUUUCGAUGAGGU